GAUGAACGCUGGCGGCGUGCCUAACACAUGCAAGUCGAGCGAUUCUCUUCGGAGAAGAGCGGCGGACGGGUGAGUAACGCGUGGGUAACCUGCCCUGUACACACGGAUAACAUACCGAAAGGUAUGCUAAUACGAGAUAAUAUGCUUUUAUCGCAUGGUAGAAGUAUCAAAGCUUUUGCGGUACAGGAUGGACCCGCGUCUGAUUAGCUAGUUGGUAAGGUAACGGCUUACCAAGGCGACGAUCAGUAGCCGACCUGAGAGGGUGAUCGGCCACAUUGAAACUGAGACACGGUCCAAACUCCGACGGGAGGCAGCAGUGGGGAAUAUUGCACAAUGGGCGAAAGCCUGAUGCAGCAACGCCGCGUGAGCGAUGAAGGCCUUCGGGUCGUAAAGCUCUGUCCUCAAGGAAGAUAAUGACGGUACUUGAGGAGGAAGCCCCGGCUAACUACGUGCCAGCCGCCGCGGUAA
rnacentral:rRNA from 1 species